AGUGGCGAACGGCUGAGUAACACGUAAGUAACCUGCCUUGGAGUGGGAAAUAACUUGCUGAAAGGCGAGCUAAUGUCCCAUGUGGUAAUGAAGCGUAGGCUUCAUUAUUAAAGCCUUCGGGCGCUCCAAGAGGGGCUUGCGCCUGAUUAGCUAGUUGGCAGGGUAAUGGCCUACCAAGGCGAUGAUCAGUAGCUGGUCUGAGAGGAUGGCCAGCCAGAUGGGGACUGAGACACGGCCCCAACUCCUACGGGAGGCAGCAGCAAGGAACCUUGGGCAAUGGGCGAAAGCCUGACCCAGCGACACCGCGUGAGGGAAGAAGGCCUUCGGGUUGUAAACCUCUUUUCCUGGGGAAGAAUCUUGACGGUACCCAGGGAAUAAGCCUCGGCCAACUACGUGCCAGCAGCCGCGGUAAUACGUAGGAGGCGAACGUUAUUCGGAUUUACUGGGCGUAAAGUGAGCGUAGGCGGUUCCUUAAGUCAGAUGUGAAAUCUUCUGGCUCAAUCAGAAGGAGUCAUUUGAUACUGAGGUGCUUGAGAGCAACAGAGGGAAAUGGAAUCCCCAGUGUAGCGGUGAAGUGCGUAGAUAUUGGGGAGAACACCAGUGGCGAAGGCGAUUUCCCAGGUUGUUUCUGACGCUGAGGCUCGAAAGCGUGGGGAGCGAAGCGGAUUAGAUACCCGCGUAGUCCACGCCCUAAACGGUGGACACUAGAUAUAGGAGGUAUCGACCCUUUCUGUGUCGAAGCUAACGCUUUAAGUGUCCCGCCUGGGGAGUACGGCCGCAAGGCUGAAACUCAAAU
rnacentral:rRNA from 1 species